rnacentral:rRNA from 1 species
CAGUAGCCACGGUAAUACGAAGGGGGCUAGCGUUGCUCGGAAUGACUGGGCGUAAAGGGCGCGUAGGCGGCAUGUACAGUCAGACGUGAAAUUCCUGGGCUUAACCUGGGGGCUGCGUUUGAUACUGUUCAUCUUGAGUAUGGGAGAGGUGUGUGGAACUCCGAGUGUAGAGGUGAAAUUCGUAGAUAUUCGGAAGAACACCAGUGGCGAAGGCGACACACUGGCCCAUUACUGACGCUGAGGCUCGAAAGCGUGGGGAGCAAACAGGAUUAGAUACCCCCGUAGUCCCUGUCUCUUAUAC